UACGGAGGGGGCUAGCGUUGUUCGGAUUUACUGGGCGUAAAGGGCGCGUAGGCGGCGUGGUAAGUCACUUGUGAAAUCUCUGAGCUUAACUCAGAACGGCCAAGUGAUACUGCUGUGCUAGAGUGCAGAAGGGGCAAUCGGAAUUCUUGGUGUAGCGGUGAAAUGCGUAGAUAUUGGGAAGAACACCGGUGGCGAAGGCGGCUAUCUGGACCGUAACUGACGCUGAGGCGCGAAAGCGUGGGGAGCAAACAGG
rnacentral:rRNA from 1 species